UACGAAGAGUGCAAGCGUUACUCGGAAUUACUGGGCGUAAAGCGUGCGUAGGUGGUUCGUUAAGUCUGAUGUGAAAGCCCUGGGCUCAACCUGGGAAUGGCAUUGGAAACUGGCGACCUAGAGUGCGGUAGAGGGUAGUGGAAUUCCCGGUGUAGCAGUGAAAUGCGUAGAGAUCGGGAGGAACAUCCGUGGCGAAGGCGACUACCUGGACCAGCACUGACACUGAGGCACGAAAGCGUGGGGAGCAAACAGG
rnacentral:rRNA from 1 species